GUGUUCACUUCAGCAGCACAUAUACUGAAAUUGGAAUGAUACAAAGAAGAUUAUCACGGCCCCUGCACAAGGAUGACUCACAAAUUCAUGAAGCAGUCCAUAUUUUU
ensembl:snRNA U6 U6 spliceosomal RNA